ACAGCGUCACAUAACGGGUGUGAGAUGCGACUGGGCGAUGGCUCACAUCGACAUCAAUCAACACAAUGAAGUUGAAUAUUAUGGACAAUUGUUGUAUUGCUUUGUGUUAGCUGAAUGAGAGAAGCGUUGCGCGUGUGUCGGCGGUGUGAUGACGUCAACGGCGCGUUUGUCUUUACUGUAAAUGGUUUGGGUUGUUCCGCAGAUGAUCCAUUGUUCGUGAGCUGAUAUCGCUUAUAAAUGUGUACUUAAUAGAAGAUGAAAGCUAUUUUGUCUUUGUAACUUAGAGAUCUGAAUGAGUGUGUAAUGAUCGGUUAUAAUAUGAGAAAUCUGCUUUAGAUUUGAUAUUAAAUUUGUGCUGAGCAAAAAGUGACAUCCUGUCAUACUAGUAUGCUGGUUAGUAUGUGUUGACAGAGUUUUGGCUGGGGGUCCUAGUGUGUCAGACACCCAGCCACCUUACAGUACAUACAGUGUUUGUUUGUGUUGAUCCCUCCAUGCCUGUUACCUGCUGUGGUUCCCUUUAUCACUGCUCCUCUCCGAGGAGCUUCAUCCAGAAGUCAGGAUUCAGGACUUGUGCGAGCCAGCCGUGUGCCAGCACCUCAUCAGACAGGCUCACUAUGAUCCGGACAGCUCAGAGUUUAGGGGGAGGUGAGGAGAGAGAUGAGGAGCAGGAGGAUGAAGGAGAAGAUCAAAGAGAUGGUGGGAUCCCCUUCAUUAUUAACAGGGGUGGUCUACCCAUAAACGAGGAGACCUGGGAGAUGAUGUGGAGGCACGUCGCCCGGAUCCACCCGGAUGGAGAGGCAGUGGCGAAGAGGAUCCGGGCGACCAGCGACCUUCCCAAGAUUCCAAUACCAAGUGUGCCUACAUUCCAGUCAAACAGCAGCAUUCCCCAGCGUCUGGAAGCCAUACAGAGAUACAUCAGGGAUCUGCAAUACAAUCACACUGGAACACAGUUUUUUGAGAUAAAGAAGAGCCGACCGCUCACGGCAUUAAUGGACAUUGCCAAGGAAAUGACACGAGAGUCUCUACCAAUCAAAUGUUUGGAAGCUGUGAUCCUCAGCAUUUACCUCACCAACAGCAUGCCGAGUGUGGAGCGCUUUCCUCUCAGCUUUAAGACGCGUUUCUCAGGGAAUCACUUCCGUCACAUCGUGCUGGGGGUCCACAGCGCCGGACGCUUCGGCGCACUCGGCAUCAGCCGCCGGCAGGAUCUGAUGUACAAACCGUUGGAGUAUAAAACACUCGCCGACCUCGUGCAGGAGUUCCAGGUGGCGUAUCGGGGCUAUUGGCACACGCUGUGCAAGGUGAAGAUCGGCCAUUACGUGUCACAUGACCCUCACAGUGUGGAGCAGGUGGAGUGGAAACAUUCGGUUUUGGACGUGGACAAGCUGACCAGAGAGGAGCUGAAGAAAGAGUUGGACAGACAUACGCGUGAUAUGAGGCUGAAGCGUUUGACUGGAGCUGCUGUAGAUGUCAGUCAGGAUAGAUGCCUGAAUCCCAAUGAAAACAAAGCUGUGACAUCACCAGAAAUGAUCAAGACUAAAGCCAUUAAACAGAAUGUCAGACUGUCACUUACACAAUUGAUUUCAGAUUGGAAAAGCUGCCCAGUCAUCACCCACUAAAGACAGAAAGAAAGAUGUGGGAUCUCCUCUACGGAAUCCAGGAAGCCCCAUGCGGAAAAACAGCCAAAGUGACAGACGGUCAUCAAUGGAGAAGAAGUCUGGAGCUACAGCAGAUGUUAAUGGAUAUCAGAUCAGGGUUUGAGAAGAUUCACAGAGAGUCAAACACAACAACAACAACAAUCCUCAGACUUGACAAUAAGGAGAAAUCUUCUGUAAAUGAAAAGCCUUUAUAAGGGUACACACUUAAGAAUGUUCAUUACUAAAACUUUUUCUGUAGAAUAGAAACACUUUUAUCAACACUUCCUAUUUAUAUUCAGCCUGAGCUUUUUAACCUUUAACUCAACUAACCACUUACUAUAUGUAGAGACUAGUUUGAAGUUCAUUUAUUGGGUGCCUUUGUAUAAAUUGUAUUUUACCGGUGAUCUGAUGAAGUUGUUCAUCUUCAUCUGAAUUAUUUGCACUUAGAAAGUCAGACAGGAUUGAUUUGUCAUCAUCAUCAUCAUCAUCAGGUUUCAUCAAUGAUCUGAAUCUGAACUAUGAUAGACCAAAUGUUUAUGUGUGAACUGUAGGAGUCUGAAUCAAUGUUUGGUGCGAGCAGCAGGGUUUUUACUGAUCAAUAGAAACAGGGUUUAGUAAUGAUACACCAUCAACGCUGCAUUUAGCAACAUUUCUAUGUGAUUUUUAACACACAUUUAGCUUUAUUAGAUGUUAUACACAUCUGUUAUUUAAUGCCAAUAUAUACAUUAAAAUGUACACUUUAUUAUUCAUUUUUAAAUACAUAUAUAUUGCUCAAAUUAUCUGAGCACAUUAUUCCAAAGCCAAAAUGAAUUUAUCAUCAUUAAAUGUUUCAUUGAUUGAUUGAAUAAGUAUUAAUGUUUCUCUUCUCAUAUGCAGACUGAUUUGCAUGUUAACUAAAGUAAAGACGAUUUAUUAAGGAUUUGCUGAUCUACAGUAGAUGUAGAAUUUGGACAAUAGAUGAUUUGUUUAAUAAUUACAUUUAAAUAUUAGACUAUUAAAGAAAAGAUUUUUAUAUAUAUUAUACACUAAACACUGAGAUGUAGUAGAUUGUAGACACACGAACCCUAUGAAGUGCUCACUACGUGUGUAAAUCUCUCAAAAUAUUGGUGCUGUUAAAUGAGUGUGUCACAGGAAUCACUUAUCAAUCAUUACAAACACACACACACACACACACACACAUACUGUACACAAACUGUAGUAAUAUAGAGUUGAUGUCACCGUACUGUAAUGUAUUGAUUUGUGACACUACUGUAUAUUGAAAUGAAGUUGUUUGUAAAUAAAGCUCAAAAGUGUUUUUCA